rnacentral:lncRNA from 10 species
AUGCAUUUACCCAAUUUCAGAUUCUUGCUAUGUUAGGUCACAGGCCAGGUCUCCCUGGUUUCACCCAGUGUGGCCAGCACAGGUCACCCCUGGACGCCCUGGUGCUGGAAGAAGAUCACAGGGACGUCCUCUCUCUUCAUGUCCUGGAGUGGCUUUUAUUUCAGUCUGUACCAGAAAAUUUCCAGGACAAAACUGUGAUCAGAACCAAGGAGUAAGCAGCCCCAUUUUGAUGUAGUUGGGUGCUGGCUCAGGAACCAUGAAUCGGCAAAUCAAGAAAAGCAAGAAAAUGAAGUCUUGGCAAUAUGGAGCGCUGCUGAGAACUGAUAUGUGGUUAUGCAAGAAUUUGUUGCAUUUAUGCUGAGGAAAGAUUGAAAAGUAGGAUUCAGGCACCAAUCCAGGAAGCUGGGUGGAGGAUCACUGGAGCAACAUAUGCCAUUGUGGUGUGCCCAAAGAAACCCUUCCGCUUUGACUUGUACUCUCUGGAUUCGGCUACAUCUGUGGCCCUUGACUGUCUUCCCUUACAAAGACAUCUUUCUUUGGAAGCUUCUUGUACUCUCAUGCACAUAUUCCCCAGGUGGGAUCCCCCAUCUGUCUUCCAAAAAUACCCUAGACAUUCAUCCCCUAAACCUGCCUGGUUUGGUCCCAUCACAUUUAUAUGAUGUUACAGAGUAUGGAAAUGGGAAAGCAGAUGAACCUACCAGCUUGGCAUCCAUGUAAUACUUUAAUUAAAUUGCUAAAAUUAAGAGCUUUGGGAAAAAGUUUCAUAAUUUAGGUUAUGUUCCUUUUUUGUCUAGUGAAGGGAACUUUUUAUUUGGUAUUAGGACUUUGUGUGUGUUAUCUAAUUUAAUUUUCACAGUAUCCCUGCAAGGAAAUGGCUGUUUUCUCCAUUUUUUUUUCAGAUGAGAAAAUGGAGUUUUAUA